CCCUUAGAUGUUCUGGGCCGCACGCGCGCUACACUGAUGCAUUCAACGAGUUUUACCUUGGCCGAGAGGCCUGGGCAAUCUUUUAAACCUGCAUCGUGAUAGGGAUAGAUUAUUGCAAUUAUUAAUCUUGAACGAGGAAUUCCUAGUAAACGCAAAUCAUCAAUUUGCAUUGAUUACGUCCCUGCCCUUUGUACACACCGCCCGUCGCACCUACCGAUUGAAUGGUCCGGUGAAGCCUCGGGAUUGUGGCCAGUUCACUUUAUUGGGAGUUGGCUGUGAGAACUUGUCUAAACCUUAUCAUUUAGAGGAAGGUGAAGUCGUAACA
rnacentral:rRNA from 1 species